GACGAACGCUGGCGGCGUGCUUAACACAUGCAAGUCGAACGAAGAGCGAUGGAAGCUUGCUUCUAUCAAUUUUAGUGGCGAACGGGUGAGUAACGCGUAAUCAACCUGCCCUUCAGAGGGGGACAACAGUUGGAAACGACUGCUAAUACCGCAUACGAUCCAAUCUCGGCAUCGAGACUGGAUGAAAGGUGGCCUCUAUUUAUAAGCUAUCACUGAAGGAGGGGAUUGCGUCUGAUUAGCUAGUUGGAGGGGUAACGGCCCACCAAGGCGAUGAUCAGUAGCCGGUCUGAGAGGAUGAACGGCCACAUUGGGACUGAGACACGGCCCAG
rnacentral:rRNA from 1 species